UCGGGAAUUUUGGGCAAUGGGCGAAAGCCUGACCCAGCAACGCCGCGUGAAGGAUGAAGUAUUUCGGUAUGUAAACUUCGAAAGAAUAGGAAGAAUAAAUGACGGUACUAUUUAUAAGGUCCGGCUAACUACGUGCCAGCAGCCGCGGUAAUACGUAGGGACCAAGCGUUGUUCGGAUUUACUGGGCGUAAAGGGCGCGUAGGCGGCAUGACAAGUCACUUGUGAAAUCUCUGGGCUUAACCCAGAACGGCCAAGUGAUACUGUCGCGCUAGAGUGCAGAAGGGGCAAUCGGAAUUCUUGGUGUAGCGGUGAAAUGCGUAGAUAUCGGGAGGAACACCUGUGGCGAAGGCGGCCACCUGGUUGGAUACUGACGCUGAGACGCGAAAGCGUGGGGAGCAAACAGGAUUAGAUACCCUUGUAGUCCCUGAGCGGGCUGGCAAGGCGCAU
rnacentral:rRNA from 1 species